GUGAAUCAUCGAAUCUUUGAACGCACCUUGCACCCUUUGGUAUUCCGAAGGGUAUGCUCGUUUGAGUGUCAUUGUACUCUCACACUCUUCCUGUUUUGCGACGGGGGGAGCGGUGGACUUGGAUGCGUGCUGCUUGACCGCGGCUCAUCUGAAAUGCAUUAGUGCACCGUUGGGUUGGGCAUAGUACGGCGUGAUAAGUAUCUUCGCCGGCACCUCGCACGAGGGUGUUCGAUCCUUCCGCGCUGCGCUCCAAACCGUCUCCGCGCGGGGACAAUCGUUUGACAACUUGACCUCAAAUCG
rnacentral:misc_RNA from 1 species